rnacentral:rRNA from 1 species
GUAGGGAAUAUUGGGCAAUGCUCGCAAGAGUGACCCAGCCAUGCCGCGUGCAGGAAGAAGGCCUUCUGGGUUGUAAACUGCUUUUGGAAGGGAACAAAAUGACACUGCGGUGUAACUUGAGUGUACCUUCAGAAUAAGCACCGGCUAACUCCGUGCCAGCAGCCGCGGUAAUACGGAGGGUGCAAGCGUUGUCCGGAUUUAUUGGGUUUAAAGGGUGCGUAGGCGGCUUAUUAAGUCAGGGGUGAAAGACUGCAGCUCAACUGUAGCAGUGCCUUUGAUACUGAUGAGCUUGAGUACAGAUGAGGCUGGCGGAAUGGGUGGUGUAGCGGUGAAAUGCAUAGAUACCAUCCAGAACACCGAUUGCGAAGGCAGCCGGCUAAACUGUCACUGACGCUGAGGCACGAAAGCGUGGGGAUCGAACAGG